GGACUAUGCAGCGGGAAUAUGUGAGAUAGCUAUACUUACUCUCAUAUAAGUGUCUGAUGAUGGUCACAGCUAGUGAGAGAAUGUUGGGCUCAAGGGAAUUUCUGAUUCUUGGCUGCUUUUAUGAUACUAAGUUAUGACUCCUGACUUCACAUCAUUCCCCAGGUUUCCAACACAGACUGGAUGGGCUGCUUUGUGCUGCCUGAAUUCUGUCAUGGCUCAGAGUUUUCAUAUGUGGAUGAGGGUACACAAGAAUUCUGGCCUUCUAUGAAGUUGACUGAACAAGAACUGAAAAGGGGAGAACAUAUCAAACCUGACAUUUAAAGGUUCAAACCUUCAAUGUACUGAGCACAUAGUCUAAAGAAAACAAUUAUGGAAUUUUCUUGUCUUGUAUCCUGAAUUCUCCUGCAGAACUCCUUGACACUAAGCUGCCUUACUGUAACAUGAUGUAGUUCAAAAGUGAUUUAAUAUUCCUCACAGAGCAGGUAACACUUCGCUCUAAUGCUCUGCAUUGAGCAAAGCAACAAAAGGCUAUGGGAAAACAUUUAGCCAUGUGCUCCUGAGGAAAAAAAAAUGCCUCUGUUCCUCCCUGUCUAAUCUUUCUGCAGAUCAGAAUGCUAUCUUAAGAAAGAGGAAUAUUGUACAAGUUUCCAUAAGUUUUAUGAGCCAAUUAUUACAGAUAUAAUUGUCAAAGGUUAUAGAGGUCUAUAGAUGUCUUAUUUUCCAUAGGCCAGUGCCCUUUUAUGCUCCUCUUUUAUAGUUAAUGCAAUGCCUCAUUUAAUAAUUGAAAAAUAAUUUAUUUGAGUUAAAUUGCUUUUUUAGAAGGCAUAAUCUUAUCAUUCUCAUUUUUAUAAGAAACUCAUUUUAAUUUGUUUGCUGUGCCAUUCUCACAUGAAUUUAGGAAUUUAAUGGAGUGAAAAUUGAAUGCUGAUGGCAUCAAUGAAAUUAUUAAUUUGGUAACCGAAAGAUUUAUUUGGUUGAUUUAGAUGGAAUUUUCAAUACCCAGUUAUCUUUGGACUCUAUUAAAGAAUGAAGUUUCACCAAAUAACAGUUCUCACUCAGAGUUCCCCAGGAUGAAUUGAAAAGGACAUCUUCAUUAUUGCUAUUGAUGUUAAUGUGGAAAUCACUUACUAUUAAUAAACCUGAGGGACAGAUAAAGGCUUAUUUUUAC
rnacentral:lncRNA from 1 species